UACGUAGGGCGCAAGCGUUAUCCGGAAUUAUUGGGCGUAAAGAGCUCGUAGGCGGUUUGUCGCGUCUGCCGUGAAAGUCCGAGGCUCAACUUCGGAUCUGCGGUGGGUACGGGCGGACUAGAGUGAUGUAGGGGGAGACUGGAAUUCCUGGUGUAGCGGUGAAAUGCGCAGAUAUCAGGAGGAACACCGAUGGCGAAGGCAGGUCUCUGGGCAUCUACUGACGCUGAGGAGCGAAAGCAUGGGGAGCGAACAGG
rnacentral:rRNA from 1 species